GCGAGGGCGCGGGGCUCUCGGCACCCCUCUCCCGUAGCGGGGCCCUGCCCCGGCUCUUAGAAAGAGCAUUGGGCUCGGAGCUAGAGCGCCGUGGGGCCGGCGCCCCAGCCCUUAGUGAAUUGCUUCAUCUGCCACUCAUGUCCUGCGCCCUGGAAGCUGCAGAGAGAGCCUCGGCUCCCCGUGCAAGCGUUGGGCUGACAACUGACAGAGGCGACGCUUGGAAUGAGACAUCCAAGGGUUCAAGGGUCAACCCUUUCCUCUAGGCCUAGCAGAUCAUACAUGCUCCUUCUUCUUAAACUUAUUAAGGAAAAAGGCAGCCACUCAUGCUUUCUGCCAACAAAUAUUGAUUGAGCACCUACUAUGCGCUAGACACGGUGCUAGACCUUGAGGAUGGAGGGGUGAAUGAGACAGGCAAAACUUCAUGUUCUUUUGGUGGAGACAAGCAAUAAACACUUGAAUACACAUCUCAGACAAGAUAGUGCUGCAGAUGGUGAUGGGUGUCAGGGAGACUCAUCACCUGAGGCAAGAGGAAAAGACAUUGUGGGAGACGGAGGAGCUGUUCUGUUUGAGACUCAGUGGCCGCAGAGGAAGGGCUUCCUGGGACAGUGCCCCUUAAGCUGAGACCUGAGCAAAGUGUGAGAUUUAGCAAGGCAAUUUUCUAAGGGAAGGUUUUUUAGAUAAAGCAGACUGCAGGUGCAAAGUUCCCAGCCCUCUCCCCAGCCCUUGCUGGUAGAAUGAUCUCUCAGGCUCCUGAGCCCCCAAAGCACAAGAUUGCACCCCUUCCUCUGACAAGGGAGGAGGCGUGAAGCCCAGAUCUGGAGUCAGGCAGACCUGGCUUUACAUUCUGGCCCUGGUACUCACUAGCUGUGUGACCUUGCACACAUCACUUAGCCUCUCUGAAUGAUAGUUCCUGCAUCUGUCACAUGGGGAGAAUAAUGCUCUGUUCUUUACAGGUUUGUGUGAGGAUUCAAUGCAGUAACACCAAAAUGUUGCAAGCCCAGACUUGGGCAUCCUUAUGUGCUCAAAUAAAUGAUCUCUGGGUUCCCUAAGAAGACCUCAGCUUCUGCAUCUGAAAACUAGGUCUCUCUCUGACUCGGAGUGAAAAGCGAAUUUACCUUUCCCCAUCCUGGUGGCAACGAGGGGGCCCAUGGUAGAACUGUGUGCAGCUUGGACAAACUCUGGGAGAGGGGUCCCAGCUGGGGUCUCCUGUUGGACACCCUUUGGAACUCAGAGCCGUGUUUACAGUAGGAGAGAGGAGCAGUUGAUUGGACAGCUCCCCACCCAGCCAGCCACACUAUCCGAGUCUCAGGCAUUUGGUGGAGUUCAGAGAGGAGGCCUCCAGCAAACGCAGGUCAGGGCCAAGCUGUCACACUGGUGAGGUUCAUACUUCACAUUCUUACCCUCUUCCCUAGGCUUCCCCUCCCUGCCUCCUUUGCUAAACUUGCCCUUCCUUGAGAAAGGACGGGAGGUCAGUCGCUUUACAGCGACUAAGAGAGGACGUCAGUCUUUGGAGAUACUCCUUCAUUUGACAUGUGGGGAAUCUGAAGCCCAGAGAUGGCAGGGCUUUGCCAGAGGCUACACAGCAGUCCUGAGGAUGAGAAUUCAUGCCAGAGACCCUUGAUCUAGGGCUGUUUCUCUAUGGUACUUCAUAGCCUAGUUCUGCCCAUUUUACAGAUGGAACAAACUGGGGCCCAAAACUGUAACAUAAGCCAGCAAAGGCUUCCCAGCCAACAUUAGCAAUGAGGAAUGAGGAAUGUACUUUAGGCAGGGGUUGGGGGAAAUGGGAUCCUUCCAGGACCCCUCCAAUUAUUCCUAGACCCACCUGCUUUGAAGAUGAUCUCUGCCUCCCCUCUCCCCCCAGGGAAAAGACAUCUGGAGAGAUCUGUAGCUAUCAGCUCCCCUUUGUCACCCAGGAAUCCUAAAUCUCCCCAUCCUGACAGAUCAGCCCAGUUGGGGCCCAGAUCCACAUUAGUGCCCUUGUCUCUCUGGCUCCCGUGAAAACUGGCUGUGAUGGUUGUGCAACUGGAGGCCACUAAGGUCAGGCUGGGCACCGCCUCACUCUGCCCCAGGGCUCUAGCCCAAUGCCCAGGUGGGAGAUUUUUCUCAAGACUCGGACAUCAACAGCCAGGCCUGGCAUCAAAAGCCUCUCCUCACCUGCAAUGUUUGCUGCCAGCUGCUCUGAGGGGUUGUGUUUCACUUGUUCAUUAGCUCAUUCAUUCUUUCUUUCUUGCAUUCAAUAUCUCUAGAGAACCUGCAAGGUGCCAGGCACUGCCCCACACAUUGAAGGUGGAGCAGCAAACAAGACGGUGAGGCCCUGCCUCCUGGAGCUCACUUUCUGGGGUGGGGAGACAGGCAGUAAAUCAAUAUACACAAGACAGAAGGUCAGAUGGAGGUAACAAGGCAGGAUGAAAAGGAUGAGAGAGGAAGCUGGCCUCCCAUGAGAAGAUGCUGGACUCAGAAAUCUUUGAAUUCUAGGCUUCACCUCUGAGUAACUGCGUGAACUUGGAUGAGCUACUUAAACGCUCUAAACUUCGGUUUCCAUAUCUGGCUAAAUAUACUGACAGCACAAAUAGCUAUGAAAGCUAAGGGUCCACCACCCCCUGACCCAGCAGGUACACUCCUAGCUACAGACCCAAGAGAAAUGAGCACACGUGUCCAAAAUGCAUGGACAAGGUGUUCGUGGGGGUUGUUCACAAUGGCCCCAAAUGAGUCAACCCUGAGGCUCAUCAUCAGAAGAAUGGCUGAAGCUGUGUGGGAUAGUUGCAGAGUGGAAUAUUUCAUAGCAACAACAUAAAGAAACUGCUGAUAGAUGCAGCAAUGUGGAAGAAUCUGACAUUUUGUUGAGUGAAAGAAGCCAGACACACAAGAAUAGGAGCUGUGUGAUUCCAUUAAGCCGAAUUCAAUAACAGAGUCUGGCUCUGUUGCCCAGGCUGGAGGGCAGUGACACCAUCUCGGCUCACUGCAAUCUCCACCUCCCAGGUUCAAGCAAUUCUCCUGUCUCAGCCUCCCGAGUAGCUGGAACUACAGGCACCCAGCACCACGCCCAGAUAUUUGUAUUUUUAGUAGAGACGGGGUUUCACCAUAUUGGUGAGGCUGGUCUUGAACUCCUGAUCUCACGUGAUCCGCCUGCCUCAGCCACCUAAAAUUCUGGGAUUACAGGCGUGAGCCACCACGCCUAGCUAGAAGUGGUUUAUAUCUUGAUCUAGUUGGUAUCACAUGGGUUUAUACCUAUGUGAAAAUUCAUUAAGCUUGAGCUCAUCAAAUAAUUUGAGAUUCAUGCAAGUUGUACCAUACGUACGUUAUAUUUCAAUAAAAAGGUGUUUCAAAAUGCCUAGCGAGCUGGUGAAGGAUAAAUGGGAUUGAGAAUGUAGCUAUGCCUGCCUCAAAAUAGGGCCUUGUGAAUGUUCCUGCCUCCCUAGUGCCACUCUGAGGGACAAGGGGUGCCCUCCAGCAGCCAGGCUCUGUCUAGACUGUUUUGACAUCAACUGCCAUUGACUGCUGUGAUCACCAUGACAGAGCACCAGCCAGGGUCAGGUGAUAUUGUGCUGUGCUGUUGGGUUUUGUUUUGUUUUGUAUUUUUUUGUUUUUGCUUUAUUUUUUCUGUUGCUUUGCUUUGUGAUGAGA